AGUGUGAUAUCUCAGUCAGAAGUUGUUAUUGUACAUUGUUUUGUUCACUAAAGAAAUAAGCUGAACAACAUUAGA